ensembl:lncRNA
GAGCGGAGUGUGGGGGGGGAUAUUAUGGGAUGCCUGCCCCCUGAUCUCUUUGUGUGUGUGUGCGCGCGCGGGGUGUAGUGCGAGAGAGCGAGGAGACGGCGUCGUGUGCGCACACUGCCAGAUUAACAAAAUACGCAUAUCCAUUUAAAUGAUCCGGACCCCGUCCUCUCAAGAGUAAUUGAUUGAGAGCCCAACUAAGACACGGAGUCAUUGUUUUGGAAGCGGGGGAAUCAAGUUGUGAGUAUCUUAGUUUGGUUCCGUUGUUGACACGCCGGUCUGCGUCCACACCGUUUUAUCCGAGGCUGUUGUGAGUGUUUCGAGGGUAAAGGAGAACAUGUUGGCGGUAGAUCCGUGGAGGUAGGGCUCCCGGGGCGGCCCAGGGGAACCCGGUCGCCGGUCCAGCUGGGCUAGCCCGCAUGCUAAUGGCCGGGAAAGUAACCCGGUAAAGACGGUGUGUCAGCACCGACCGAAGGAACGGAGCCCUAUCCCACUCAGAGCUCCGACCCAAGAAAAGAAAAGUUCGCUUAUCUUCGCAAGAACAUGUGGAGAGUGUUUUUGUUCGCCGGAUGAAUGUGUGUGAACGUUCGGGGACGCUUAAUAUUCACUUCCGUCUACUUGUGUGUCUCUGUUCCCUUUGCCGUAACCCGCCGUGCUGCCCUCCGCCUGCCGACCAGACAGGGGACCCUGGCCCGCACGGAGCAUCACGCCGAUAAAACUACUUUAUUUAGUUAGCUAACUCUUUAGCUAACUAAAUCUAAAGUUUUGUUUUAAUAACUCUCCACCAUGUCUGGAAGCGAAGACGACAGGGAUGAUUUCGGAGCCCCCGAUGAUCGGCUACUACACGACGACGACGAGGAGCUCUCGGAGACCGAGACGCCCAAAGUGAAGAAGAAGAAGAAGGCCAAGAAGAGCCGCGAGAGCAAGAGCAGCAAGCGCCGGUCGCGCCGUGAGGUAAGGGUCUGCUGCGGUCCGGCCUCCCUCUGCACACACGCCGGUCUGUCCUCUAGUCCACACUGAACGGGUCCUGGAGGCCUGUGUCCUCUAGUCCACACAGAACGGGUCCUGGAGGCCUGGGUUCUCCAGUCCACACAGAACGCGUCCUGGAGGCCUGGGUUCUCUAGUCCACACUGAACGGGUCCUGGAGGCCUGGGUUCUCUAGUCCACACAGAACGCGUCCUGGAGGCCUGUGUUCUAAGCGGCCGCGGCUGGGCCCAGAGAUACUCCACCACCUGUUCUCUUU